ensembl:lncRNA
CAUUCAUUCAAGUGGCUUACAUUAAAAAAAGACAAGGCUGUAUGUCAAUUUAAGGGGGGGACGACUCAAAUGUUGGACGGUAGGGGACAUGGUAAGGAACUUAUUUGCUUUACACUUUACACUUUACUAUCAAAUUCUGAGUGAACGGUUAUUCUGUGGACUUCCGAUCUCUGUGUGCAUACCAGCCACCCAAAACAGAAAAUAUCUUUAUUUUUAAUCAACUGUUUUAAACUUUUUCCAAUGUGAAAGCAGGGUUCAACGAGACACCAUGUUGUAAUGACAAUAACUCUUUGAAGGGAGUCUUUCUCUAUGGUCCCGUUGGUCUGGAUGUAGUUAACUAGCAGUACCCUUGUACAGUAUGUGUAUACUUUAAACAAUGCCAACAGGGCAUCCCCCAGACAGAAAUGAAUUUCAAUAUCUAGGAGAGCUGUUCCUGUUCCAUUACUAAUGAAGUAAUUAGCUACUAAAUAUACCAUGACUUAAUCACAGAACAUAAUAUUCAUCCAUGACUGAUCAAAUGUAAUGCGACUGUGUAUCAUAUAUAUUUCCAUAUAAAGGCAGGUUUGAUUGUGUUUGCAUUAUUUAGGCCAGAGGGUGAUUUUCAGCUUUGUGGAUUAAGCCCGUCCAUCACCUUGAGAACAAAAAGAGGAGAGAUAAAUGUCAUUGUGUGCACAGGCCAGAGUACAGCUUCCCCAAAUAGACCAGAAUUACAACUCCUGUUCCCAAUAUCCCACAUUCCGGGAGGAGAGACACUCAGUCUGCAGUUAAAGUGGUAGGGUGCUGCUGCUGUGAAGUCAAAACAAAAACUACUGUAGAAAUAAAAUGGAGGUCAACCAUUAAAUACAUGUUGAUUGAUUAUUCCAUCAUAAUAGAUGAUAAAGUCAAAUGAACCCUCCGUUCCCACCAAUUGUAAGAUUUGAUUCCCAUGGUGACGGUUUUAUAAUAAGUUACCUAAUACGUACUACCAUUAUCAACAUUCUUUCUGUUUUUUUUCUGUGUAUAAUUUUUGACUUUUAUUUUGUCUCAGUCAUUUUUUAACUACAGGGUGAAUGUCUAGUAAUACUAAACUGGUCAAGAAUUCCAGGAAGUGGAUUUUGUAUUUCUGCUCUUAGAUUACAGUUGUCAAUAUGCAGCACAUACUGUACCUAUUUGCUUAACUACAGUGCUGAUACAGGGAACAGGCCAUGGUGGGACCUAGUACAUUCACUUUCACACAGCAGCAACAUGAAACAUCUCCAAUACUUCUAAUGAAUCGUUUCCUUGUGCCAAUGAAAACGCAACCUACAGUAAGUGUGUCUGGUCUGUUUUUGAUUUAUGAUUAGAAUAUUUAUGAAGAGAACCCCUAUUGGCUAUUAUCCUCUGGCUUUGCCCUGAUGUUGAUGCAAUUUCUGAGUUUAAGUUUGACUUGUUUGCUGAUGUUUUACAGCAAGCGAGCCUCUUCCAACCUCAACAGACUCCUAUCAGUCAUCAGCUACAGCAAUGCAUAGACCCAGAUAUGCAGAGAGGGCAGACUCUGGCUAAAGCCGUCUUCCAUUCUUGGUCCUAAUCUCCCACUGUGCUGCUACUACCCCCACAACAUCCCCAGCCCACAGAGGAAGCAAUAACGUGAGCUAAUCAGUCUUUUCGCGACUCGACUGGUAGAGAUACCAAUGCCUUUAGUCUCAAGGCUCCAGGGGCCAGCCUAUCCUACGAUUAGGCAGUGCCAACCCAGCCUCUUUCCCUCUCUGAUAUGGGCACCCACAGCUGUCCUUCUAUUUUGGAGCAUGCUGUGACAGCGGCAUGACUCCCCCCCCCCCCCCCCACCCCACCCCCACCGACGCCCAGUCCAGAACAAUAGACACGCUCAAAUAAACAUGCCAAACUUAGAAACCACUCAGACUACAGAAUACCAGAGCUAUCCCUCAGUCAAUCCUUUUGCUGCCACACAGUAUGUCCAGGCAGGACCAAUCGGCAAGGCCUGGGGUCAACACCAGCUACAACAAACAGAAGGAAAUGUACCUCUUGAAACAUGGAUAAAACAAUGGUCACAUUUCAUUAGUUUGUAUUUCUCUAAACUAUCCACGUGGUCCCUGCUUCAUAUACAAUAUAAAUGGAAAGCUGAAACAAGUGUCUGAAUUAUAUAAAAUAUAUAUAUUUUUUUAUCACAGGUAAAAAUCAAAUCAACAUGUAUUUGUCACAUGUUUUGUAAACAGUUGUAGACUAACAGUGAAAUGUUUACUUAAGGGCCCUUCUUAACAAUGCAGAGAGAAAGAAAAUAGAGAGAUAAUAGAAAAGUAAAACAAGUAAUAAUAAAUACACAAUGAGUCAUGAUAACUUGGCUAUAUACCAGUACUGAGUUGAUAUGCAGGGGUACCAGUACUGAGUUGAUAUGCAGGGGUACCCGUACUGAGUUGAUAUGCAGGGGUACCAGUACUGAGUUGAUGUGCAGGGGUACCAGUACUGAGUUGAUAUGCAGGAGUACCAGUACUGAGUUGAUAUGCAGGGGUACCAGUACUGAGUUGAUAUGCAGGGGUACCAGUAUUGAGUUGAUAUGCAGGGGUACCAGUACUGAGUUGAUAUGCAGGGGUACCAGUACUGAGUUGAUAUGCAGGGGUACCCGUACUGAGUUGAUAUGCAGGGGUACCAGUACUGAGUUGAUAUGCAGGGGUACCAGUACUGAGUUGAUAUGCAGGGGUACCAGUACUGAGUUGAUAUGCAGGGGUACCAGUACUGAGUUGAUAUGCAGGGGUACCAGGUCAUUGAGGUAGAUUUGCACAUAUACAGUGCCUUGCGAAAGUAUUCGGCCCCCUUGAACUUUGCGACCUUUUGCCACAUUUCAGGCUUCAAACAUAAAGAUAUAAAACUGUAUUUUUUUGUGAAGAAUCAACAAGUGGGACACAAUCAUGAAGUGGAACGACAUUUAUUGGAUAUUUCAAACUUUUUUAACAAAUCAAAAACUGAAAAAUUGGGCGUGCAAAAUUAUUCCAAUACUUUCGCAAGGCACUGUAACUAGGAAUCAAGUGACAGAUAAAAAACAGUGGCAACAACAGCAACAGAAAAGUUCAAUGCAGAUCGUCCAGGUAGCUAUUUGGUUCAUUAUUUAACUACCUAUUUAGCAGUCUCGUGGCUUGGGCCUAGAAGCUGUUCAGGUUCCUGUUGGUUCCAGACUUGGUGCAUCAGUGUUACUUGCCGUGCAGUAGCAGAGAGAACUACCUUUGACUUGGGUGGCUAGAGUCUUUGACAAUGUUUAGGGUCUUUCUCUGACACCGCCUGGUAUAGAGGUCCUGGAUAGCAGGGAACUCAGCUCCAGUGAUGUACUGGGCUGUUCGCACUACCAUCUGCGGUCGGAUGCCAAGCAGUUGCCAUACCAAGCGGUAAUGCAGACAAUCAAGAUGCUCUCAAUGGUGCAGUUGUAUAACUUUUUGAGGAUCUGAGGGCCUCCUGAAGGGGAAGAGGUGCUGCUGUGCCCUCUUCACAACUGUGUGGGUGUGUGUGGACCAUGUUAAUUCCUUAGUGAUGUAAGCACAGAGGAACUUGAAGCUCUCGACCCGCUCCACUACAGCCCCAUCGAUGUGGAUGAGGGUGUGCUUGGCCCUCCGUUUCCUGUAGUCCAUGAUCAGCUCCUUUGCCUUGCUGACAUUGAGGGAGAGGUUGUUGUCCUGACAGGGAGUACAGGAGGGGACUAAGCACACAUCCCUGAGGGUAAAUGGUUUGGUCUGGAGAGAGGUGAGUGGCAUAGACUUCUCUUGCACAAUUUGUUGAAGACUUUUUGAGGCUAUUGGAUAAUAUUUUGUGUUUAUCACGAGAAGCCUUGAAGUUGACUUGAAUUAUGAAUAGAAAACGUACCCCAGAACUGUCAGGGUUAUUUGCAUGCAUUACACUACUUAUCUGGGUUAUUUGCAUGCAUUACACUACUUAUCUGGGUUAUUUGCAUGCAUUACACUACUUAUCUGGGUUAUUUGCAUGCAUUACACUACUUACCUGGGUUAUUUUCAUGCACAAAAUACAUGUUUUGAUUUUGCAACAUCUGUUACUAAUAUGAAGAAUAUUCUGAUGAAAACAGGAACUGGCCUGACCUGGUGUUCUGGAGAGGUUCUUUCCCGGUUAACCUGAUGUUGUGGACCAAAUCCGGGACACCUUUGCUGGAUUGUAUACAUUAGAUAUGGCAACAACAUCUAUGGAGCCGACAGCUGUCAGGUACUUGAGGGAGUGAAGCAGAGCACUGAGAGGAUGGCUUGUAUCCUGAUAGACAAGGUUCAGCCCUGCUAGACAAGGUUCAGCCCUACACAACUACCUCCUGAGGCCGAGGAUGCCACUUGAACUCAGGAGCUGUCUAAGCGACCUGGGUGUAUUUGGGGACUACGUCAUGUACAGUCACAGACCCAUCUGUAUACAUUCCAUUCUUGACAACUUUACAGAAAUUACUAUACAACUUCACAGAAAUCGUAUCUAUAAGUUGAGUUGAAAUGAAGUAUACUAUAGUAUACAUUUUUCCAUUAAGUGAAGAUGUGG